GCCGCGUGAGGGAGACGGUCUUCGGAUUGUAAACCUCUGUCCUCGGUGACGAUAAUGACGGUAGCCGAGGAGGAAGCUCCGGCUAACUACGUGCCAGCAGCCGCGGUAAUACGUAGGGAGCGAGCGUUGUCCGGAUUUACUGGGUGUAAAGGGUGCGUAGGCGGCUGAGCAAGUCAGGUGUGAAAACCAUCGGCUCAACUGAUGGAUUGCAUUUGAAACUGUGCGGCUUGAGUGAAGUAGAGGCAGGCGGAAUUCCCGGUGUAGCGGUGAAAUGCGUAGAGAUCGGGAGGAACACCAGUGGCGAAGGCGGCCUGCUGGGCUUUAACUGACGCUGAGGCACGAAAGCAUGGGUAGCAAACAGGAUUAGAUACCCUGGUAGUCACAG
rnacentral:rRNA from 1 species